GUGGGGAGUAUUGGACAAUGGGGGCAACCCUGAUCCAGCAAUGCCGCGUGGGUGAUGAAGGCCUUCGGGUUGUAAAGCCCUUUCGGCGGGGACGAUGAUGACGGUACCCGCAGAAGAAGCCCCGGCUAACUUCGUGCCAGCAGCCGCGGUAAUACGAAGGGGGCUAGCGUUGUUCGGAAUGACUGGGCGUAAAGGGCGCGUAGGCGGCGAUUUUAGUCAGGCGUGAAAGCCCUGGGCUCAACCUAGGAACUGCGUUUGAUACUGGAUCGCUUGAGUGUGGGAGAGGAUGGUGGAAUUCCCAGUGUAGAGGUGAAAUUCGUAGAUAUUGGGAAGAACACCGGUGGCGAAGGCGGCCAUCUGGACCACUACUGACGCUGAGGCGCGAAAGCGUGGGGAGCAAACAGGAUUAGAUACCCCGGUAGUCC
rnacentral:rRNA from 1 species